AAUCUUGGACAAUGGGGGCAACCCUGAUCCAGCCAUGCCGCGUGAGUGAAGAAGGUCUUAGGAUCGUAAAGCUCUUUCGCCGGGGAAGAUAAUGACUGUACCCGGUAAAGAAACCCCGGCUAACUCCGUGCCAGCAGCCGCGGUAAUACGGAGGGGGUUAGCGUUGUUCGGACUUACUGGGCGUAAAGGGCACGUAGGCGGGUCUGCAAGUUGGGGGUGAAAUCCCGGGGCUCAACCCCGGAAUUGCCCUCAAGACUGCGGGUCUCGAGUUCGAGAGAGGUGAGUGGAAUUCCGAGUGUAGAGGUGAAAUUCGUAGAUAUUCGGAGGAACACCAGUGGCGAAGGCGGCUCACUGGCUCGAUACUGACGCUGAGGUGCGAAAGCGUGGGGAGCAAACAGG
rnacentral:rRNA from 1 species